UACGUAGGUGGCAAGCGUUAUCCGGAUUUACUGGGUGUAAAGGGCGUGUAGGCGGGGAAGCAAGUCAGAUGUGAAAACCACGGGCUCAACCUGUGGCCUGCAUUUGAAACUGUUUUUCUUGAGUGCUGGAGAGGCAAUCGGAAUUCCGUGUGUAGCGGUGAAAUGCGUAGAUAUACGGAGGAACACCAGUGGCGAAGGCGGAUUGCUGGACAGUAACUGACGUUGAGGCCCGAAAGCGUGGGGAGCAAACAGG
rnacentral:rRNA from 1 species